rnacentral:rRNA from 1 species
AUGUGUUGUCAAUGCCCUAUAUGUAGGAAUACGAAGUCUUACUCUGACCGCAAAAUCUUUCACAUCCGCCUGCUUUAUAAGGGUUUCAUGUCACACUAUAAUGUUUGGACCAAGCACGAAGAAAUGUGGGUUAUGAUGGAAGACGUCGAAGAAAAGAGGGCGAUGACAACUAUGUGCCCCCUGAAUAUGGUGAUGCUGCAACGGGGGAAGCUGAAGAUCAAGAGGAACCAAACGAUGUGCCCGAUGAUGAUCUCCGCCGGGUCAUUGUUGAUGCAAGGACACAGUGCGAAAGUGAAAAGGAGAAGCUGA